CGUGUAGGCGGGGAUGCAAGUCAGAUGUGAAAUUCCAUGGCUUAACUGUGGGACUGCAUCUGAAACUGUGUUUCUUGAGUGCCGGAGAGGGAAGCGGAAUUCCAAGUGUAGCGGUGAAAUGCGUAGAUAUUUGGAGGAACACCAGUGGCGAAGGCGGCUUUCUGGACGGUAACUGACGCUGAGGCGCGAAAGCGUGGGGAGCAAACAGGAUUAGAUACCCUGGUAGUCCACGCUGUAAACGAUGGAUACUAGGUGUAGGGGGUAUCGACCCCCCCUGUGCCGGAGUUAACACAAUAAGUAUCCCACCUGGGGAGUACGGCCGCAAGGUUGAA
rnacentral:rRNA from 1 species